GUUUGCUCUUUCCGGCAAUUCCCCAGUGAGGAAGCCCCUGGAGGAAAGUCUUUCGCUACCGUCGGCACUGGAGGGGUGAGAGCUGUAAAAGGGAGAAUUGGGAACGGCAUGGGGUUGGCCACUCCAGCACUUGAGCAGCUUUCUUCUGCGUUAGGAAGCCUGGGGAGAGGGGAACUGGCUAAAGGGCAAAAUGUCACUGAGGAACUUCGGAGAAGAUGGGGACAAGGCGUCGGGCGGGGGAGCCAGCGCUCAGGAGCCCAGGCACCAUACUGUCUUUUCGAGGUAGGAGUCGACUCCUGUGAGGUAUGGUGCUGGGUGCAGAUGCAGUGUGGCUCUGGAUAGCACCUUAUGGACAGUUGUGUCCCCAAGGAAGGAUGAGAAUAGCUACUGAAGUCCUAAAGAGCAAGCCUAACUCAAGCCAUUGGCACACAGGCAUUAGACAGAAAGCUGGAAGUUGAAAUGGUGGAGUCCAACUUGCCUGGACCAGCUUAAUGGUUCUGCUCCUGGUAACGUUUUUAUCCAUGGAUGACUUGCUUGGGUAAGGACAUGAAGACAGUUCCUGUCAUACCUUUUAAAGGUACAUGUUUUAUUGAUGUUAACGUUAAUUGAUUGAGCUACUGUUAGUGAUGAUUUUAAAAUUAAAGCAGAUGGGAAUCUCUCUGAGAAAGAAAAUGGAGAUUAAUCUUAAACUGAAACAGUAGUUGGGAAAUCUUUUAGAAAUCCACCUAUUACUACCUAUUGGUAAAGGAGAUUAAAUUUCUACAGGUAUGGAGAGUCGGCUUGACUACACUGUGUGGAGCAAGUUUUAAAGAAGCAAAGGACUCAGAAUUCAUGAUUGAAGAAAUGCAGGUUAGUUUAAACUUUGAAGGAAAUUUUUAAGGUGGCAAAAGGUUUUGGUGGCAUAUACACCUUAAUCUGUAGAUGGGAGUGAUUAGCUGUUUAAAAGUUAAAAUGUGACUGAGAAGGAAAUUGAGUAGGGCAAAUUUUAAAUGGGUAUUAUUUUUCAUCUUCAAACAGGCAGACCUGUUAUCCUAAACUAGGGUUUUUAAUGACCACAACAAGCAAGCAUGCAGCUUACUGCUUGAAAGGGUCUUGCCUCACCCAAGCUAGAGUGCAGUGGCCUUUGAAGCUUACUACAGCCUCAAACUUCUGGGCUCAAGUGAUCCUCAGCCUCCCAGUGGUCUUUGUAGACUGCCUGAUGGAGUCUCAUGGCACAAGAAGAUUAAAACAGUGUCUCCAAUUUUAAUAAAUUUUUGCAAUCCAUCUGGAGUGUGUAGUGUUUACUUAAAAAAGGACAGUGCUUUUCAUCUGUUCAUUAGCUGUAAGCAUAAAUCACAUUCAAAAGCUAUUAUAACUCCAUGGUAUUUGCUUCAUUAACACUGCAGCCAGUUAAAAUUUUAUGGGUAUUUUACAAGGUGUCUUAUGCAUUAAAGUGCAAUAUUUCCUAAUUCUCCAUAUGAGCAAAUUGUCAGGUUUCAUAGGCCCCUGUGCUAAUUGGUUUUGAGCUUAAAGUAUUGAUGGAGCUACUUGGAGAAAGUCAUGUUGAGUCUGAGGCUGGGAAAAUAAGUUAUAGAAAAUACUAUAGAAAUGCCCAACUAGUGAUAGGCAUUAAUGGAAUUGGGAAAAUCUACAAUCCAUAGCCAUGGUGAUAGGUUUUUGGCAAGCACUAAGUGUUUAGGGAUGCCAAAAGUGGGUAUAAAGGGCACAACUGGUUUAAGGCAAUCUGUCCCAGGGAAACAGGACCAAGGGGCCAAAAUUCCAAGAUGGGUCAAAUUUUAAUUUCAGUGUCAGUACAGCUGUGCUUAUAAUGAUGUCUUUGUUAGCAGUAAUGGUUUUACAAAUCUGUUUCUGGGCUAAAGCACUUUAGUCCCAUUAAUGAUAAAACUUCAGUUACUCUCUGAAUUUUCCUUUUUUUGAGACUGAAUCCUGUUGCCCAGGCUGGAGUGCAAUGGCAUGAUCUCAACCGCUGCUCACUGCAACCUCUACCUCCCGGGUUCAAGCGAUUCUCUUCAGCCUCUUGUAGCUAGGACUAUAGGCACCUACCAUCACAACCAACUCAUUUUGGUAUUUUUAGUAGAGACGAAACCCCAUCCUCCCAAAGUGCUGGGAUUUCACAGGCCUGAGCCGCAGUGCCCGGCCUCCCAGGCCUUUUAUGCUUGAUGUUUUUUUCAGGGCCCUUCCCAUUGUCAUUUCACAAUCUCAUUGAAAUGUCAGCUUAUGCACUAAAUGCGUGUAAGUUGGGAAUGCCCAAUUUUGUCUAAGAAAAAAGGCCUCCCCCUCCCCCAAAUAAGCACAUUCUUUCAUUUCCUGGGGCUCACCCGAAUGUCUCACACAGGCUGUAAAACAACUACCACCACCUGGCUGGGUGCUGAGGUGGGCAGAUUACCUGAGGUCAGGAUUUCAAGACCAACCUGGCCAAUAUGGUGAAACCCCAUCUCUACUAAAAAUACAAAAAUCUAGCCGGGUGUAGUGGUGGGCUAUUGUAGUCCCAGCUAUUCGGGAGGCUGAGGCAGGGGAACUGAACCUGGGAGGCUGAGGUUGCAGUGACCCGUGAUCCUGCCACUGCACUCCAGCCUGGGUGCCAGGGUGAGACUUUCUCAAAGGAAAAAAGAAGGCUGGGCGUGGUGGUUCAUGCCUGUAAUCCCACCACUUUGGGAGGCCGAGGCGGGUGGAUCACACGGUCAGGAGUUUGAGACCAGCCUGACCAACAUAGUGAAACCCCCAUCUCUACUAAAAAUACAAAAGUUAGCCAGGUGUGGCGUGCACCUGUAAUCCCAGCUACUCAGGAGGCUGAGGCAGGAGAAUUGCUUGAACCUAGGAAGUGGAGGUUGCAGUGAACUGAGAUCAUGCCACCGCACUCCAGCCUGGGCAACGGCGAGACUUGGUCUCAAAAAAAAACACACACACAAAACUACCACCACCUACCCCAAUCGGUUACCCUUUACUUUUCAUGUGACCACCAUGACCUAUUAUGUGUUUUGUUCUUACUUCCCCCACAAGAAUGUAAGCGCUUCAAGUUUAUUCCUUAAUGUUGGAAAAAUGAAUGAAACUGCAAAUGUAGUAGAUCAGUUUUUGGGGAGGUACCAAAGACAAGUUGGUAAAAUACCUUGAUUUUGAAGUGAAAAACGAUGUUACAUUUCAAAGUAUCUUUUCGCCAGGUUAUGGCUCAGGCUUCGAGACCAGCCUGGCCAACAUGGCAAAACCCGGUCUCUACUGAAAAAAAGCGAAAAUUAGCCGGGUGUGGUAGUGUGGGCCUGUAGUCCCAGCUACUCUGAACCCUGGAGGUGGAGGUUGCAGUGAACCAAGAUCGUGCCACCUCACUCCAGCCUGGGCCUCCUAGGCUCAAGUGAUUGUUGUGCCUCAACUACCUGAGUAGCUGGGAUGACAGGUGUGUGCCACCACUCCCAGCUAAUUUUUUUUUCUGUAUUUUUAGUAGAGAUGGAGUUUCACCAUGUCAGCCAGGCUAGUCUUGAACUCCUGGCCUCAAGUGAUCCAACUGCCCUGCCCUCCCAAAGUGCUGGGAUUACAGGUGUGAGCCACUGCAUCCAGCCAAGUUCUAUUCUUUUUUUUUUUUUUUUUGAGACGGAGUUUCGCUCGUGUUGCCCAGGCUGGAAUGUAGCGGCGCAAUCUUGGCUCACUGCAACCUCCACCUCCCAGGUUCAAGCGAUUCUCCUGCCUCAGCCUUCCAAGUAGCUGGGAUUACAGGCGUGGGCCACCAUGCCUGGCUAUUUUUGUAUUUUUAGUAGAGAGGGGGUUUCACCACGUUGGCCAGGCUGGUCUCGAACUCCUGACCUCGUGAUCUGCCCACCUAGCCUCCCAAAGUGCUGGGAUUACAGGCGUGAGCCACCGCAUCCAGCUUCUUGUUCUCUCUUUUAUAUAUAAGUGCCAUUUGCUGAAUCAGAAAACUUUUUGACAAGCAUAUUAAAAGAUUUCAGUUGUAUGUAGUAGCUCAUGCCUGUAAUCCCAACACUUUGGGAAACCAAGGUGGGGGGAUUGCUUGAGUCCAGGAGUUCAAGACCGGCCUGGGCAACAUAGUGAGACCCUGUGUCUACAAUUAAAAAAAAAAAGAAAAAAAAAGUGAGCCGGGCAUGAUGGUGCAUGCCUGUAGUCCCAACCACUCAUGAGACUGAGGUGGGACGAUCGCUUGAGCCCAGGAGGUUGAGGAUGCAGUGAGCUGUGUCACACCACUGGAUUCCAGCCUGGGUGACAGGGUGAGAUGUUGUCUCAAAUAAAAUAUUAAAAAUUGGAUCACCUUAUUCAGCAUUCUGUUGUUUAGCAGUUUUGGAAUUUUAGUUGUUAGUAAAUCUUGACCUUGAGUACACGUUAUUUUGAUAUUCUGUGUGACAAAAUGGGAAGUAUGCAUGAAGCACAUCUGCCAUAAAGUAUGGAUGUCUAGAUUUUUUUUUCCCUAGAAAAAGUAGUUACAAUUGUUUGAGAUACAAGCUGAACUAGCUGCUUGUUUUCACAGAACAUUUUUAGUUUGAAAAAACCUGACAAAUUGAUUAUUCAUAUUUUAGGGGUAAUUUUGGCAGAGAUUUGCUCAAAAAAGAACAAGUCAGCUUGGAAAAAACUGAUGGCAUUUGUUGCCAAUGAUAAAACUCAAGCUUCCAAAUGAAACCUAAAAUUUUGGAAGGCUUGUAUACACUUCUGUGCCCUUAUAGCUUCCUCAGACUUAGACUUUUGUAAUGGGAUUGGUGGUAAUAUUAAUUAAUGGUAUUUUGUUUUAGAUAUUGUAUAUCAAAAUGUGUCAACAUUUGGAAGAUUUGCAUAACUCAGUGAACCAAUAUUUUCCAAAUGAUCAAUCACUGGACUGGUGUUACAAAUAUCACACAUAGGUAAAAGUUCUAUUUAAAUACAAGGUACACCAAUGGACUUUAGAAAAGCUCAUCAAUACGAUUUCAGAAUCCACAUUGCAACUAGCCUUUAAGGAACUCUACUACUUGUCAUAUUUUGGUGUGGUAUCAAAGAGAGUAUCCAUAAUUAUCAGACAAAGCUAUUAAAAUACUCCUCCCUUUUCCAACUUUAUAUAUGAGUGGGGUCAGAUUUUCUUCACAGACUUCAACCAAAACAGCAUAUAACAACAGAUAGGAUACAGAAGCAGAUAUCAGAAUCUAGUGUCUUCUAUUAAGCCAGAAAUAAAAAAUAUUUGCAGAAAUAUAAAACAAUGUUACUCUUCUAUUUUUUUUUUGAAAAUAAUUAUUUUUAAAAUAAAAACAUGGCUGAGUGUGGUGGCUCACGCCUUUGUAAUCCCAGAACUUUGGGAGGCUGAGGCAGGCGGAUCACCUGAGGCCAGGAGCUUGAGACCAGCCUGGUCAACAUGGCAAAACCUCGUCUCUACUAAAAAUACAAAAAUUAACCAGGUGUGGUGGAGGGCACCUGUGGUCCCAACUACUCAGGAGGCUGAGGCAGGAAAACUGCCUGAACCCGGGAGGUGGAGGAUGAAGUGAGCCAAGAUCGCACCAUUGCACUCCAGCCUGGGCAACAGAGUGAGACUCUGUCUCAAAAUAAAAUAAAAUAAAAACAUGCUAUUUGUGUUAACAUGUAAUGGGUUAUUUUAAAAUGAAUUUAACAUUUUAAACUAAAUCAUUAAAUCAAUUAUUAAUUAAUUAAAUAGGAGGCUGAGGCAGGAGAAUCACUUGAACCCAGGAGGUGGAGGUUGCAGUGAGCCAAGAUGGUGCCACUGCACUCUAACCUGGGCAAAAGAGCGAGACUCUGUCUCAAAAAAAAAAAAGGUAUAAAUCAAAAGAAUUUCAAGGCAGAAGUGAAGACUGAGUAGAAGAAAACAAUUUCAAAAUCACUGAUCAAGACCUUGUUCUCAUUUUGUCUUUUUUUGAAAUGGAGUCUUGUUCUGU
rnacentral:lncRNA from 10 species